CAAUACUGCUUACUCACGGAAAUUAAAAACAAAACAAUAGGUGACUUGCACAACAUAAUGACUAUUUUAGUCCCUCUGCCCCUCCAGAUUUUGGUAAUUGAUCUCAGAGAAAUACUUGAAUCACUCCCCAGAAAAGGAAGCCUCAAUUUUACAGGUUCUCCAUAGAUUACCAGCAGAGGAGAGAGACUGAUGGGUGGCAUGAUGCAUGUAAGUAAUAUGAUGAGAACACAUCUCACUGUUUUGGUGGUUUUCUUUGAUACAUCACUGCAAAUAC